GAUGAACGCUGGCGGCGUGCCUAAUACAUGCAAGUCGAGCGAACGGACGAGAAGCUUGCUUCUCUGAUGUUAGCGGCGGACGGGUGAGUAACACGUGGAUAACCUACCUAUAAGACUGGGAUAACUUCGGGAAACCGUAGCUAAUACCGGAUAAUAUUUUGAACCGCAUGGUUCAAAAGUGAAAGACGGUCUUGCUGUCACUUAUAGAUGGAUCCGCGCUGCAUUAGAUAGUUGGUAAGGUAACGGCUUACCAAGGCAACGAUGCAUAGCCGACCUGAGAGGGUGAUCGGCCACACUGGAACUGAGACACAGUCCAGACUCCUACGGGAGGCAGCAGUAGGGAAUCUUCCGCAAUGGGCGAAAGCCUGACGGAGCAACGCCGCGUGAGUGAUGAAGGUCUUCGGAUCGUAAAACUCUGUUAUUAGGGAAGAACAUAUGUGUAAGUAACUGUGCACAUCUUGACGGUACCUAAUCAGAAAGCCACGGCUAACUACGUG
rnacentral:rRNA from 1 species